AAUCAGUAGUUUUUUAAUUGAAAACUUGUAUGAAGGGUUGAAUGAAAUAUUAUCUGUUUCAUAAAAAUUUUAUUAGAAUUUUAUUUUUUAAUUAAAAAGUUAAAAUAUAAUUAGAGGACGAGAAGACCCUAUAGAAUUUUAUAAUAUUUUAAUUUAUUUUUUAUAAAAAAUUUUUUGAAAUUUAUAUUAAAUAUUAUUUUAUUGGGGUGAUAUUAUAAUUUAAAAAACUUAUAUUUUUUUUUACAAAAAUUAUUGAAUUUUUGAUCUUGUUUUAUAGAUUAAAAGAAUAAAUUACCUUAGGGAUAACAGCGUAAUUUUAUUUUUAAGUUCUUAUUUAUAAUAAAGAUUGCGACCUCG
rnacentral:rRNA from 1 species